ensembl:lncRNA
GGUUUGGAUUAGCCCAGAACCCCGCCCCUUGGCUGUGACUUCUCUGGCUUCAUUACUCGCUGGAGGCCGUGGGGCCACGCACACAGCACAUGCGUCUGCCCUAGGCCUGGAAGCCCCGCCCAUCUUUUCUGGUCAUGUAACUUCACCACCGCUGCUCUGGCCCUCUGGGACCUGGGGGCUUGCCUGCCCAGGUCCACAGAGAUAGCUCUCUUGGCCUUCACCAGCUUACGUAUUCAUAGGUUGGCACUUGGCGUGACUAUCACAUCCUCCCUCUCCAGGUGAUCCUGGAAGCUCUUAGAAUUGGGCAGAUCAGAGAGCAUUCCCGGCCACUUGUAAGUGGGGGCUUCCCUGGUGGCUCAGAUGGUAAAGAAUCUGCCUGCAACAUGGGAGACUUGGAUUCACUCUCUGGGUUGGGAAGACCCCCUGAAGAAGGCAUUGGCAACCCACUCCAGUAUUCUUGCCUGGAGAAUUCCAUGGACAGAGGAGCCUGGCAGGCUACAGUCCAUAGAGUUGCGUAGAAUCAGAUAUGACUGAGCGACUAACACAUUCACUUUUUUCACUUCGUUAAUGUUUUACUGACAAUGUUGGUUUGGGUUCUACCAGGGAAGGGAGGCUUGGAGGUGAAGAGAUAUGCAGCCGUGUCAUAAGUGGUGGAACUAGAUGACCCCAAAGCCCUACUCUGAUUGCUAGAUUCCCUUGGCCUCAGCACCAAAGCAGAGGAGGCCCAGAAGGAUAAGCCAGAAUGUUGGAGAGCUGGGUCCCCACCCCAACAACAGGACCCACAGGCCAGGCCUCACUGGGCUCUUGACGCAGAGCAGUGCCUCCAUCCAUCAGCAUCCUCUAAAGCCAAGGAGACCCUGCUUCCAGGAGGCAGUGAGGAGGCUGGGAGAGAGGAGGUGGCCUGCAGCAGCAGCUACGUGGCUCCCUCCUGCAGAGGGCCUCCCGAGCCCCAGCCUAACAUGAGCCUUUGCAGGUACUGAAUUAUGAACGGAAGUUGCCCAGAAGUAAUUGAGAACAUUAUUGCCCCCCAC